AGGAUUAUCCAAAGAUGAGAAUAAAAUAUAAUUGCAAUUCUGAAUCAGGCCAUACCAUCAAUAAAAUUAUCAGACUCAAUUCACGGUUUAGUCUUAGACAUGUUUGAAGAAAAGCUACAAAUGACAUAUCUAGUUGAGGUGUGGUGCUACUAAUUAAUAAUAUCAGGAGUGAGGAAAAAAGGCCUAAAGCUGCUACUUAUUUUGAAGUCCUUGAUUAGACCAAUGACAUUGACCUCAACAAAGCUUAAUGGAAGAAAGUAUCCAUGGUUAUUUUCAUUACAAGGAAAAAACAGUUCAUAUGACCCCAAAAGAAGCUGCUACUCAUCCAUGCAAAUGAACUUGUUGGAAGAAACCAAAACACUUGAAAGCUAACUGUCAGCAAAAACAAAAUGCUCAUUAUGACACUCACAUGGUUUAUGGUAACUGGAAUGCUUCUCAUGAAAGUUGUCUUUAAAUCAAAGGCUAUAAUUUAUUCUUUCACGUCAUCUAGCCAAUAUAAAAAUUCAGUCUAUAUUGCUUUCAAUACCAACUUUUCUAGUUCAAAUAAUAUGGUGCAAUUAUGUUAGAAAUAGGCACACUGCAACACUGACAGACAUGAGAUAGUCUGGUGCCAAUUCUAUACCAAAGCCUGUAUGAUGCAUGCCAAGUAAUGGACUACUGGAGCCUUUCCUCAAAUCACAUUCAAGUUUAUAAAGUGUCUUUGGCAAAAUUUUCUUUUAAAUUUCUGUAGUUCCUAAAAUUAUAGUUGUAUGAGAACCACCUGAAACAAUUGUUAUAUUCUUGAUGCUUGAACACUAAAGGGUAGAUCCAUAAUAUUAUGUUAGUAAUAGGCACACUGCAAUACUGACAGACAUGAGACAGUCUGGUGCCAAUUUACC
rnacentral:lncRNA from 1 species